rnacentral:rRNA from 1 species
UUUUUUACUACACUACAUAUCUUGGUAAAGCAUUUACCUAAGUUAUGGAAAAUUCAGAAUUCAUCAGUUAUUUUAGAUAAUACUAAAAAACAAGAUAGAGUAAGAUACAGAAGUGUAAAAUAA